rnacentral:lncRNA from 1 species
GAGUUCGCGCGAAGUCCUAUCAGCGUAGUCGUAUCAGUUCAAACUAUUUUUUCAAACUAUUUCUCAAAUUCGCAAUUCACAUGUAGAAUCCUUACAAAUCGUCAUGUAAAUUUUAUAAUAAAAUGAAUAGGACUAUCUCAUCUCUCCAUACCCAUGGCCUACCUUUUCAUUACGUCGGUUUACGUCUCAUCAGUGCAGACUGCAGAAGAAACCAGAAAUAGGCUUUUCUUCCAUCUUUUCUCAACAGAUACACCCUCGAUUGAAAAAAGAGACGUCACAGUUGCAAUGCUUGCUCUUCAAGAGGCAAUGCAUGCUCUCUACUGUAUCCAAACAGUCAAUGUAAUGCAAAACAAUUCACUUACAGAUGGCUUACAGCGAUAAGGAUUUCCGAUUCAUAGCAACCAAUGAUUUGAUGGGAGAGUUACAGAAAGAUUCCAUCAAGUUGGACUCUGAGCGAAAGGUUGUUAAGAUGCUUCCUUGCUGGUUGGAGGACAAGAAUGGUGAAGUCUAGAACCUGGCCGUCAGAUGGUAUUGGACCUUUAGUCAUAAAAGUGAAGGAUGUUCAAGUGGAAACGAUUGUUAAACAUCUUUGCACAAAUAUGUCAUCAGACAAGGAACAAUUAAGAGAUAUCUCGUUGAUUGGUUUAAAAACUGUUAUUAGUGAACUCCCUUUGACUGCAUCUGGAAUGGCAGCAUCUGUUUGUAAAAGAAUAACAGGUCGCUUGAACACGGCAAUUGCCAAGCAAGAAGAUGUGUCAGUACAACUAGAGGCCCUUGAUAUCUUGGCUGAUUUGCUUACCAGAUUGGUCUCCUUUCACGAAGCUAUCCGCGAAGCAUUAUUACCCCAGCUAGCUUCGCCGCGUCUUGCAGUACGCAAACGUACAAUCCAGGCUUUAGGCCACUUGGUUGUGUCGUGCCAUCAUACUCUAUACGUGAAGUUUAUGGAACACCUUCUUGAUGGUCUGGCCAAGAACUCUACCACUUCAACAACCAGAACUUACAUUCAAGCAGUUGGUGCUAUAAUAUGAAACUAGUCGACAAGCCGGUCAUCGCUUUGGUGAGAACGUGGAGAGAGUGGUGCCGUCUCAUUCAGUUCAUUAACGUAGAUGAUGAUGAACUCCGAGAGUUCUGUCUUCAGGCUUUUGAGGCACUCGUUCACAAAUGCUCUAAAGAGAUGACACCUCACAUUGGUACUCUCACUGGUAUCUGCCUGGAACUAUUAGCCUAUGAUCCAAACUACAAUUACGAAGAAGAAAAAGAUGACGAAGGAGAUAUGGAAACUGAAGAAGAAGAUGAAGAAAGUGAGGAAGAGUAUUCGGAUGAUGACGACAUGUCCUGGAAAGUACGACGAUGUGCUGCAAAAUGCUUAGAGGCGAUUAUCAGCACCCGCCCAGAUUUGCUAAUAGAUUUUUACAGUACCAUUUCUCCUGUGUUGAUCGUUAGAUUUAAAGAGCGUGAAGAAAACGUAAAAGCUGAUAUCUUUCAUGCAUUCAUUGCUGUUUUGAAACAGACCAAUCCAUCUGGAUCUGUUCGCGACUGGCUUCGGCGCUAAUCAAGAGAUUUACAGCGUGUUGAUGCAACAAGUUCAUCAUUAUUAAAGUCACCAGUAAACAAAUGAAGGUACAUCCAGUGCAUCAACCACAAGUUGCAUCACCUCAACGCUACUCAACGGCCAGGACGGCUUUCCAUAUCUCAUAUACUAACGGGACCGAUGCAGUUUAAUGAAUUUCUGCAAUCCAUUCAAAAGUCGAAAUCCUGCACGAAAGACUUAUGGGGUCGCUUGAUGCCAUCAUUCGUCAACCAGCCGUUUGACAAGAAGUCAACGAUAGGACUAAUUUUAGCUAACAUAGUACCUUCCCCCAUCCCCCUCAAAUUCUUCUCUUUCUUCUCUACUUGAAGUUGUAAAUAGUUGAUUGUCAUCUGGCGUAUUGUUUUUAUAGAUUACCUAGCGCCUUUAUAAAUCUCCCACUUUACCCCAAUCUGAUGGGAAUUUGACUUGCUUCGCUCUUGUUGCAAAACUAUCGAUGGCGUAUCAAUAAAUAAUUCCCCUUUUUUUUCUUUUCUUUUUUAAACUAGACUUGCUGUGAUUUUGAGAUGUACAUAAAACAGAUGAAACUUUCACUCCCAACUUAAAAUUAUUGUUUUCUGUUUGUUAAUUCUCUUUUUAUUUUCAAAGUUCCAUAGUCAAUAUAAAUAUAGUUUACAUGGCAGACAACUCUUCUCAGGGAGCUACCACUAACGGAAUCUGGUUGUCGCCCUGAACAAUUUUUUUCACCCCGUUCAUCCCCCCCCCCCCCUCCCGAUUCUCAAUUUUUAUCAGUAAAUGGACAGAUCAGUAUCUCGGUUUGGAUCAAAUUCGUAUAACAUGGAAGACACUCGAUUCAGAAAAGAAUUUAUAAGAAAAAAAAAGAAAAUACGCCGGGUAAGUUUUGAACUGAAAAUUCUGAAAGAGAAAAAGCAAACAAUAGCUAAAGACUAUAAAGGAACAGGGUUUACCAAACUGGCUCAAUAACGAUUUGUUUUAUUAACUUGAAAUUCGAUGCUAUCAAGUGUCAACCGCCGAAAACAUAUUUCAGCAAGCAUGCUUCGAGUUUUCUUUUUUCUAACCCUUCUCAACAUCCAUACCCUAUCCAUUUCUUCGUGAAUUGCAUUUCAAAACAGGAUAAUUUUUAUAUUCAAAAUAGACAAACUUGUAAUUUUUCUCCUUCAAAGGACCCACCAUCUAAGCCCAUCGAAGAGACUCAAGUAGCAGCAACUGGAGCCAAACAGCGCACCUACGCCGAUGUGGCGAAAACGGCGGUCAUUUCUUCUCCGUCUCAGAGAUCCACUCCACCUCCGGUUUCCGUCAAAUCUGACCAGCAACGACACCUGGAAUUGGCUCUUGACGAGUUGAGGCAAAGAUUGGCUCGUCCGGAUCACUCGAUCAAAACAUCCAUUAGUACUGAACCGUCCACCGACGCCGCCAACGAAAUCGCCCGAAUGGGCGAAUGGUUGCCACUUGUCAGUCGACACCGGUCGACACAUGACUUAACCCAACAUCUGUGUAACCGAAUCGUCAAUGAAUCUUCGACUAACGAAUCUCGACUGGAAUGCGCUGAUCCGACAAACGACAAAUUGCGUAACCGGGGAGCUUCCGUCUCGCCGUCCACUCCAUUCGAUGCCUUUGAUGAUGAUAAAAAAAUUUUUUAAUGCCGGUGCUACCCUCCACGAAAUUGACAAAUUAUUGAAUGAGGGAAAAGAGACGUCAUAUCUAUCAAGAAACGACCGUCAAAGAAAAUUUUGUCAAAAUUUGCAGAAAAUUUUUUGUCAUUGCGCUUUAAAAAGAAGUAACGAAAACGAAAUCAGAGGUGGAGGCCAUCUACCAUUUCCCCAGAUCGCGAAUGUACUGUUUUUUUUUUUUUUUUUUUUUUGCGUGGUAAUGAGAGAGAAAUUGGUAAACAAACGUUGGUUGUUGGGUCACGCAGUGUUGUUGAUUUGUCUUGUUUUAUUUUUCGCCUCCUGAUAGGUGGCGCUGAGACCUUUGCUGUCCAACUACGUCAAUUGGCUGAGCGCCAUCGCUGGCAAUUUAAUCAACUGCGCUUCCGUCCUCAACUGGCUGGAAGUGGACAACCGAGGCCGGCGGCUCUACCCACCUCCGCCGUCCGACGAUGCAGACGCCGAGAUCAACACGCCGGCCGUGGCCGCUGCCUACGCCGUGCGCCGUUACGCGGCCGUUGCAUCGGACGAGAUCAGCUUCGAAGUGGGUGAUAUGAUAUCCGUGAUCGAUAUGCCUCCGCCGGAAGAGAGCAUGUGGUGGCGAGGCCAACGCAGAUUCGAUGUCGGAUUCUUUCCGUCCGAGUGUGUCCGGAUCAUCGGCGACAAAGUGCCGGCUCAUUUGUCAUUACCCAACACGACGCCCGUCGUCGUGGUCGGCGGCGGGAGCGGCGGAGGAGGAUCGAAUCCGGGCGGCGCCAGCAGCAGCAGCAGCAGCAGCAAGACUCAGCACCUGCUGAAUCAGUCCGGAUGCAGCGGCGGCAGCAGCGGCGAAAAUUUGCCCACCAAACCGCGGCAAUUUGCGCAAGCACGGCAAGCUCAUAUCCUUUUUCAGCUUCACUAAACGCUCGUUUUAUUACACGCGGAAGAGAAGACGAGAGAGAGUCAUGGCCUUUGGAACGUACGGAGUUCUUUCGGUGGUCUCCUGUUUAGUUCGGGGACUUUUUCCAGUGGCAGCAGCAGCAGGUGCCACUGAGCACAGACAAGCGCUAAAUACGUAGAGAGAGACGAAGAAAAAGAAGUGAGGGAAGAUUGAAACGGAAUAAGAAGAGGAGGAAUGAUAGG